rnacentral:lncRNA from 10 species
GGAAAUAGUUCCCCAGAGGAAAAUCUGGAUCUAGUGUCCAGAAGACAGGUGGAUAUUGGGGAGUAGGUAUGGAUCUGGAGAAAUCAAUUCCAGAAAAAAGCAAAAAGCAAAACAUCCGGAUUCCUGCCACUACACAUACACACCCCUGUCCACCCACAUACACACCCACGAUAUUGAAAGGGCAGCUGGAUAGGUGAGUAAAUAGUGGGGAAAAACGAGAGCCACUUGGUUCCAACUAAUGCUUUCAAAGAAUUACAAAAGGCAGGGAUGUUUGACAGGGGGUUAGCAUAUCAUCCGUGCAGCUGGAAACAGAUGAGAAAGGUAAUAGCAUGUAAAGCCCCUUCCCAUGGGAAGGCUCUCCUGGCUCUGACUCAGGCCAACUGGCUUCUGAGCCAUCAGAAGCUUUGUCAGAAAGAUCACCCGUGACAGCUUUGCUGCUGGUAGAAUCACAGCAACUACUUUGAAAGCACCCUCGGCCAACUCCAGUGGCUUGAAGCCCACCGAAGUUGGGUGCUGGCUCGCCUUCAGGAUUCAGGGCUGCAGGAAGUGCUCUCCACCUGCAGGGAUAUUUCAGAAGCCUCAGCAAGUGGAAUCUUGGAGCUCUUCUUCCUGCAUGCUUCGAGAUUAAGGGUAAUGUAUGUGCUGAGUUUAAGAAUUGCCGUCAUGGCUGUGUCAGGGCACCAGAUUCAGAAAAUUGCACCACAAUCAGAGUCCAGAUUCUGGUCAGAGCCCUGUCUCUUACCAGCUGCGCAAUCUUAGGCAAGGCCGUCUCUUAACCUCUCUGACUUCCAGUUUCCUCACUGGAUAAAGGAAACCUCUGCUGCCAGCACGGGCUACCUGCCCUACCUACUCAGAGGUGCUGUCAGUGUCAGCCCCGAAGGUGUCAACUUACUUUAUGUAAAAAUCUGUUAUUUUAUGGAAUGAAAACUCCAACAAUGCACUGGCCCACCGCCAGGAAGGAUAGGACAUUGUUUUGUAGUAGCAAGCUGAUUUUUAUACCAACCCUUCUUGCUUUCCUCCCACAUUGGUCCCUAGUGACAGCCCACAGAUUCCUCCAGUUGAGGAAACACUCUGUGGCCACAAAAGCAAGCCACAGGAAUUGGUCCUCAGAGCCACAGAGCCUGUGACUGUGACAUCUCCAUCCCCAUGGCCGCGCUGGUCCCAGCCCCGACUGCCUCACAGUGUCUUCAGGUCUCUGCCUAGGAAUAAUCCUGAAACCCCAGAAAGACUCACCAAUUCCCAGCAUCUUCCAUACGGGAGGUAGAAACAGCUGGUAGUCUUAAUUAAGUAAAGAUGGAAAAACCAAACCUGGCCGGGCCCAGUGGCUCACGCCAGCAUUUUGGGAGGCUGAGGUGGGCGGAUUGUUUGAGGCCGCACUUCGAGACCAGCAUGAGCAAA